GGAAGCCAAGGCAGGUGGAUCACCUGAAGUUGGGAAUUCGAGAGCAGCCUGGCCAACAUGGUGAAGCCCCAUCUCUACUAAAAAAUACAAAAAAAUUAGCCAGGCGUGGUGGCACAUGCCUGUAAUCUCAGCUGCUUGGGAGGCUGAGGCAGGAGAAUCACUUGAAGCCGAAAAGCAGAGGUUGCAGUGAGCGGAGAUUGCCCCACUGCACUCCAAUCUGGGCGACAAGAGGGAAACUCCGUCUCAAUUAAAAAGAAAGAAAGAAAGAAAGAAAGCAUUAAUUCCCAUGCACGGGUCCCGGAGAAGCUAUAAUUCAGUCUUUUAUCACAGGUUCACAUUCCCUUAUAAAAAGAAAUACAGAAUCACACAUACUGCAAUACUUCCAGAAAUAAAUCAUCCACUGAGUCUUAAAAGUAAAUAACUCUGUGUUCUUGCUCUGGUGUCUACAUAACCGGGAUCUUAUAAGUAA
rnacentral:lncRNA from 1 species